rfam:Streptococcus gordonii str. Challis substr. CH1, complete genome.
AAGAGUCUUCAGGGCAGGGUGAGAUUCCCGACCGGCGGUAAUUUUUGGAUUGGAAAUGUUUUUUUCUCAAUGCCAAAUCAAGUCCGCGAGCGCAAGCUGAUGUGGUGAGAUUCCACAACCGACAGUAUAGUCUGGAUGGGAGAAGACGAAG